rnacentral:rRNA from 1 species
AACGAACGCUGGCGGCAUGCCUAACACAUGCAAGUCGAACGAGACCUUCGGGUCUAGUGGCGCACGGGUGCGUAACGCGUGGGAACCUGCACUUAGGUUCGGAAUAACUCCCCGAAAGGGGUGCUAAUACCGGAUAAUGUCUUCGGACCAAAGAUUUAUCGCCUUUGGAUGGGCCCGCGUUGGAUUAGCUAGUUGGUAGGGUAAAAGCCUACCAAGGCGACGAUCCAUAGCUGGUCUGAGAGGAUGAUCAGCCACACUGGGACUGAGACACGGCCCAGACUCCUACGGGAGGCAGCAGUGGGGAAUAUUGGACAAUGGGCGAAAGCCUGAUCCAGCAAUGCCGCGUGAGUGAUGAAGGCCUUAGGGUCGUAAAGCUCUUUUACCCGGGAUGAUAAUGACAGUACCGGGAGAAUAAGCUCCGGCUAACUCCGUG